rnacentral:misc_RNA from 1 species
AGAUAGAGCGAUAAAAACGGUGCAUCGCAAUCGUUGAAAUGUUUUAUAAAUUCAUUUUUUAUAGACAGCAGCGACAUCUUUAAUGUAAAAUUUAAAGUGAUACCGUUAAACCUUUCACGCAACUUUUAUAUUUCUUUACUUUUCAAUUUUCAAUUCGAUGUUCAACUAUAUAUGUAAUGAAAAAUUAACGUUUUAUAAUUCCCGCUAUACGGAAGAUCCAAAGGUGUGCGAGCGCAUGCGUGCAAUUGUCAGCGAUCAGCAGUACUCGAUGGUAGCUUGCCUAGUGCUGAUCGUUUUGUCAAGCUCGUCGUUAACGCGACGAGUUUUCGCGAAAGAAUUUUACCACCGUCCAUUUUUUGUGUCAUUCAUGGAUAUCGUGUGCAAAUAUAUAUUUUCGUCGCUCGUACACGAUCUUAUCGGAAACAUCUGUGUUCCUUGCAGUGUCUAGUUUUAUGGUUUUUGUUAUCAAAUUUUUCUUUAGAGUUGACAGUGUUGUUCGCACUUAACGUAUAUAUGUACGAUAGUAUAGAGUAUAGAGUUUUUAGUGCAGUAAUCGUGAACAGAUCGUGAAACAGUGAAUCAAUAAGGGAAGAAAAAUUGUAAUGUACGAUAAUACCGACUGAGACUUCGAUCGUUUCUUUUCGACCGCGUGGAAUAUACAAGACGCCAUCGCGUGUACUUGACGUUUACAAGUGAUGCUGGUUGUUUGGCAAGGAGCUCGCCGUUGCCUGAGUUGCAGCGGGCAGCGCACUAAUCAAGGCUACCAACUGCGUCGUCAUCGUGGGUCAGUCAGCGAUAAACUUGAUCGAUAUCAACUCGUUCGAACCGGGGAAGAUGAGGCCGUGCUGCUGGAGCUGAGACCGCCUCGCAGGCUGCGAAAGACGCAAGGCCCGCAUCCACGAGCGAUCACCAAAAACGACAUUUACUGCCACGGGGACCUGCUGCACACGAUACAGAUGGCCGCGAUCUACAAGGAUUCGAAAACGUUCGUCGACAUGAAGAUGAAGCACCCGCCCAACGAGACGUUGAUGCUCUUUCGGGAGUUUAUGGAACGACGCGACCAUGUGCCGUCCAGACACGAAAUCGCGCAAUUCGUGAACGACACGUUCGACCCGGAGGGAUCCGAGUUCGAGGAGUGGGAUCCGGCCGAUUGGACUCCGCGACCAAAGUUCCUCGACAAGAUUCUCGACGAUCAGCUUCGUAAAUUCGCCUCCGAUUUGAACGAUAUCUGGAAAAUGUUGGGUCGAAAAAUGAAAAACGACGUAAAGGUUCACGAGGAACAAUACUCUAUCAUAUACGUGCCGAAUCCGGUGAUCGUUCCCGGCGGUCGGUUUCGAGAGUUCUACUAUUGGGACUCUUAUUGGAUCAUCAAAGGUCUCCUACUCUCGGAAAUGUACACGACCGUGAAGGGAAUGCUAACCAACUUUGCCAUGAUCGUCGACAAGAUCGGUUUCAUACCGAACGGAGGCAGAAUAUAUUACGCGAUGAGAUCUCAUCCGCCUCUUUUGAUACCGAUGGUCGACGAAUACCUCAAGACCACUCACGAUUACGAAUGGCUCGACGAAAACUUUCACCUCUUGGAAAAGGAGUUCGACUUUUGGAUGACGAAUCGAACGGUCGAGGUCGAACUGGACGGAGUGAAGUAUACCCUGGCCAGAUACUACGAGGAAUCCUCGGGACCGCGACCAGAGUCCUACAAAGAGGAUUAUCUGACCAGCCAGAGUUUCCGCACCGCCGAAGAGAAGGACAACUAUUACGCGGAGUUAAAGACCGCGGCCGAAUCGGGUUGGGACUUUUCCAGUCGAUGGUUUAUACUCGACGGGACGAACAAAGGUAACCUGACCAACUUGAAAACGAGAUACAUUAUCCCCGUCGAUCUGAACUCGAUAAUAUAUCGAAAUGCACAGCUGCUGGCACAGUACAGUUUGAGGAUGGGCAACGAGAGCAAGGCCGCGUACUACCGGAAGCGAGCGGAAGAAUGGAAGAAAGCGGUGACGGCGGUGCUGUGGCACGACGAAGUCGGUGCCUGGCUCGACUACGACUUACUGAACGACAUCAAGAGAGAUUACUUUUAUCCGACGAACAUUCUGCCGCUCUGGACCCAGUGCUACGAUCUAGCCAAGAGAGAGGAAUACGUGUCGAAGGCGUUGAAAUAUCUCGAAAAGAAUCAAAUCAUGUUGAAUCUCGGUGGUAUACCUACGACUCUCGAACACUCGGGUGAACAGUGGGACUACCCGAACGCUUGGCCUCCGUUGCAAUACUUCGUGAUCGUGUCGUUGAACAAAACCGAAGACCCGUGGGCGCAAAGGCUCGCCUACGAGAUCAGUCAACGAUGGGUUCGAAGCAACUACAAGGCGUUCAACGAGACGCAUAGCAUGUUCGAGAAGUACGACGCGACGGUAUCGGGUGGUCACGGAGGCGGUGGCGAGUACGAGGUACAACUGGGUUUCGGUUGGUCCAACGGGCUCGUCAUGGACUUGCUGGACAAGUACGGUGACAGGUUGACGGCCGAAGACCAUUUCGUGCACGACGAUGUCAUGCAAAACUCGGCUCCGCAACAAGUAGUCGUUUCGACGGCCGGUCAAGUAAUGACCGGUAUCCUAGCUCUCAUCAUAUCGUUGGCCGCAGGAUUCAUAGGAAUGGUGAUGUACAAGAGACGGCACUACUACGUACCUGGUCCGUCCACGAUGCCGAACAAGAGGAAAGUGAUCGCACCAACCGGCAAUCUUUACCGGAAAAGGGUCGCCUAUACCGAGCUCAAGGAUAUGAACAACGAUUGACGAUAGCUGAUUAUUUAGAGAGGGCCGAUUCGUAGCGCGAAGCGAGCGUAACAGCAUCAACGAGGACGAGAAGAGAAGAGCAACCAAAAGUGCCGCGAGCAACCGCGAAACGCGUUCCUUACCGGCCUAGCCGGCAACUAGAAAGGAUUAAAGGUGAAAGUGUGUGCGUGCAUGCGUGCGGACGUACCAGCGAGUGCGCGCGUGUCAAGUGAUCAACGAACAGCCAAGAGAACUCUUCGGAACGCGGCGUUAAAGUAACGAUCCUUUCGAGUCGCGAUACGCUUCCGCGAACGCGUAGUUGGCGCUGCGCUUUGCACUGCUCUCGAAUCGAAAGACGGAUCGGAAUUUUCGCCUUUGUAGAAGUAACAUUUCGUUCGUUCCGUCGGUCGCGCGUUCUCGUUUCUGGCCAGACUCGAGAUCGUCGACGACGUUUCCCUACCUCUCAAAAGUCGAUCGCGUUUCAUUCGGGGAAGGUGAACGCGGUCGCGCGAAGCGCUAACGAUCGACAAUUUGUCGCGAAAUGCCGUUUAAUACGCUCGCAGAGCGUUGACCAGAUAUCCUUUGCACGAACUGGAUGGCCAUUUGCCCUCGCCCUAAAUUCUGCUAAACGAUUCGUAUGCCCGCUGCGCUGCGGGCUACUGCUCGGUUACGCUCUCUCGAAACGAUUUUCGCUAACUAACAGGAGAAAGGAAGGGUAUCGAUGAACGCGUCCAACCACGGUAUACCAACUUACGAUCGACGGAGUUUUACUUAGGUUUAAAUGAUUCAUCCUCGAAUCGCGAUAUGUACCGCGUACUUUUAGACGAAGAUUAGUCGACGAAAACGUUCUAUUUUUCCUGCUAUUUUUAUAACGAAAUCAGUUUAGCUUGCGCAUUUUCAAUUCACAAAUGUUUCGAGGCAAACGAAAAUGUAAAGAGAACGACGAAUCGAACAAGAGAUUCGUAACCGAUGCGCCGCACUCCGCACUCUCUAACUCUAAAUCUACGAUACUUGAAUCAUUGUGAUACUUUUAAAUAAGCGGAUACGUACGCGUUUCUGUAUCCCUCACCAAACUGCUCCUUAUUUAUCUCGAGCGAUUGCUCGCGUUUAUACGCGUCGAUGGUGCUUUUAUCCCGCGAUCUGAAUUUUAUCGACUCGUAGAAUCGCCGUCAAAGGUGUCUGGUUACUGGUCUAGUAAAUAAAGUUCCAAUCGAAUCGUGCAGCUUAUAUUGUAGCGAGAUCGACGAUCAAACGGAACGCGAAAACGUAUCGAUCGAACGAUAUUUAUUAUGUCGAGGCGUUUUCUCUUCGAGAAGCAGCAGGAAUAUUGAGAUCGAUCGAUCGAUAGAUAGAUAAAUAGAUAAAUAGACAGAUAGAUAGAUAAUGACUGCAACUUUAAUAGAUACGUGUAUUCGGUAUACGCAUGUACAUACGUUAUACAUAUACAUACAUAUAGUAUAUAAAAAACUAUGAUACGCUGGCGUGUCAUGUGAAAAUUUUUAGGAAAAAUUGCCCAGCCCGUCUUUUCUCUCUCUUUUCUUUCUUUUUUCUAUGUACAUACAACGUGUAUAUCUGCGACUGUAAUAUUUCAACAAAAUGCGCUCGUUUGGUAAAUAAAGUGUAAAAGAAAACGAACUGGAGACAACAAGGAAGGGGAAAAGGGUACCUGGUGUCGUUUAAUCGAACGUCGAAUUCGCUGUAAAAUGAACGACAACGUUAUCUCGACAGAUUACUUGUAUUUCUUUAGAAUAUACCACGUAACAACAAGGAAAAAUACUGAAUUAUACGGGGAUACCUUAUUUGGUGUAUCGCACGAGCGUGAGCUAAAUUUAAAUUGUUUUGCUGCGCUGUAGAACCUCUUAUUUAUCGGCAAUACAAUGUUAAUACUUAUGAUCGGUAAACUAGCACGAACACGUGAUUACGUACGUACGACCGCUCGUUUGAUGGAUAUUUUAACUUUCAAGUAAAUUAGCCAAACUUGUAUCGUUGCUUUGGCAUUCUUUCUUUUUUCUUUGCCAUCGAUCGAUCGAGUACGAUCAAUGCGGUAUUAAAUUUAGUUCAAUUUUCGGAAUUUAACCGCGAUCUCGUGUCAACGAUAUACGAAAACAAAAUCCACGCUUUCCUUUUCAAUAUUUUCUGCAACGUACGUCGUUGAUUUCGUUCGAACGACGAGAGCUACCUACGGGAUCGCCUUGCUUCGUCUAUCUGCUAUCUGGUACGUCGCGCUCGCGUUCGUUUCGAUACACGAUAUCCAUAGUCGUAACUAACCGUUCUCGACCGACGUUCGCGAACUUGAUUAAAUACCUAUCGAUUCCACUGCUUUUCGUACAAACGAGCGUUACGCGUUUCCAACUUUAGUAAACGCAAUACUAAAGAAAAGUCAUCGGCACAAACAAAUAGAUAAAUAGUUAGCGAUGAGCAAUCGUAGCCGAUCAGCUACGAGUGAAGAAAAAAAAAAAGAGGCCGGAAGGGGGAAGACAAAUCACGAAGUGUCUCUAUAUCAGCACUUUGGUGCACGCAAACAAA